rnacentral:rRNA from 1 species
UACGUAGGGUGCAAGCGUUGUCCGGAAUUAUUGGGCGUAAAGAGCUCGUAGGCGGUUUGUUGCGUCGGCUGUGAAAUCCCGAGGCUCAACCUCGGGUCUGCAGUCGAUACGAGCAAACUAGAGUGUUGCAGGGGAGACUGGAAUUCCUGGUGUAGCGGUGAAAUGCGCAGAUAUCAGGAGGAACACCGAUGGCGAAGGCAGAUCUCUGGGCCGUAACUGACGCU